UUUUUGAACUUUAAAAGUAAAUGAUACUUGUAAGGUUUUAAACAGAUCGACACACUGCAAAAGACCUUUCAGAUCAUGUUAACUCUUAAGUAAUCUUAUCUUCCCCCUCUCUCUCACAGAUCAAACUACUCCCACCUAUUUUAAUGAGUAAUUCAAAGCCAUCUGAAGGUUUAGUCCUAUGCACCAUCUCCUCUCCCCCUAACUGAUAAAGACCAAGAUGUGACUAAAAUUCGCCAGUGCCAGGAAGAGGGCAGAUAUCUGACUAUCGUGUCUGUUGAGCAACUCCAGUGUUGCAAUUUUUUUUAAGGAAGCUGAAAAAUGCCCUUUUCCUCUCCCCGUCCCCUGCACACUGGCUCGCUGCUACCACCGGGAAAACAGGGAAGGGAGCAGCCACUACCCUGCAAAAAGGAUUUGAGCACCAGCUGGAGAAGGGAUUGAAAACCAGCCCUAGAUCUGCCAAACCUGGGCGGGAGGGAAGAGAGGAAGGAGGCUUCAUUGUGUCACUUGUGAGCUCUCCCCCGGGGAGGGGUAGGGAAGGAGGGAGGGGGCCUCGGCCCCACUCCCCCGUUUGUCUCUAUAGCGCAGCGAGACACUGCUGCAGCCACUUCUCUCGUUCACACCGCCCUAGCUCCGCGCCCCGGCCCUCGGCAAAGCCCAAGCUCGGCUUUCCUGGAAAUGACUGGAUAAGUGCCAAGUCCAACUUCGAGUAAUAGGCUUACAGCCAUUCUCUGACACCUGCUCUGGCCACAACACUGUAAUUGUUUCCUGAGCCCGAAACAAGAGGAACAGAAUGCAAGAGACAACAGCACAUAAAGGAAACACCUAAAGGAAAACAUCAGUCUGCAGAAACAGGGCAUUGCUGGAAACAAGGGGUGAACUAAUUAAAGAGGAGAUUGAAACAAAGGUUUUCCCCUUCAAAGGUGCUCUGCAAGUGAUUUUUUUUAAUUGAACUUGUUCCCUUUUUUACUUAGAAAACUUUUUCCUUUAAUAAAGAUUGUUCUGCUCAUUAUCUUAAAUGCCAGGAAUAUCAACUCUGCUCGUCCCUAGUUUUGCUGUAAGAUCCACUUGAUAUCUCAAAGAAUGUACAUUGUUAACUCUUACACUCUAACUUAACGGAUGGAAGAUGGUGAAUCUUUACUGUUUUGGAGAAAGAAUAUUGUUAGUGAUUCAAGUUAAAAAGGUGUUAACGAUAACAAAAAAGAAUUAAACAGUCAUCAGACAUA